UUGGCCCUAAAUCAAGGCCAUCGGUUUGCUGUAGCCGUUGGUUUCAAACAGGAGCCCAGAGGAAACGUCUCCCGGUCUGUUGGCGCUCCCAUCCCCGUGGAACGACCCAAUUCGUGUGGGAGUGACAAAA
rnacentral:snoRNA from 1 species